AAUUGUGGGUGUUGUGGGUGUUGUGGGAUGUGGGUGUUGAUCUUAGUUUAUGGUGAUUUUGGUGGUGUUUUGAGUGUAUUCAGUGGUGUUUUAGUAUUCAGUGGUGUAUUUGGGAGUACUCAAAUGGUGUUUUUGGAAGUGUUUCAGUGUUGUUUGGAAAUGUUCAAAGGUGUUCAAAGGUGUUUUGAGUGUGUUCAAAUGUUGUUUUUUUGAAGGUGAUCAAGGGUGUUCAAGGGUGUUUUGAAGGUGUUCGAAGGUGUUUUGAGGUUAUUCAAAGGUGUUUUGAGUGUGUUCAAAUGAUUAUGAGAGUGUUUUGAAUGUGUUCAAAGGUGUUUUGAAGGUGUUCAAAGGUGUUUUGAAGGUGUUGAAGGGUGUUUUGAGUGUGUUCAAGGGUGUUUGAAGGUGUUGAAGGGUGUUUUGAUUGAAUUCAGCGGUGUUUUAGUAGUAAUCAGUGGUGUAAUUGGGAGUACUCAAAUGGUGUUUUUGGAAGUGUUUCAGUGUUGAUUGGAAAUGUUCAAAGGUGUUUUUGAAAAGUGUUCAAGAGUGUUUUGAAGGUGUUCAAGGGUGUUUGAAGGUGUUGAAGGGUGUUUUGAUUGAAUUCAGCGGUGUUUUAGUAGUAAUCAGUGGUGUAAUUGGGAGUACUCAAAUAGUGUUUUGGAAAUGUUCAUGGGUGUUGUGGGAUGUGGGUGUUGUGGGUGUUGUUGUCGAACUAGAGAUACCGAAAAAAAAAAUGUUAUAAGUGGGUUGUUGUUGGGACUUUUUCUGAUGUAGUGUGUCCCCUUAUUAACUUUAAUGAACUAAAAGGGUUAAAACGAGAAAAAAAUGGGGGGUGUGGGUGUUGUGACUUUCUGAUGUACUGUGUCCCCUUAUUAACUUUAAUGAACUAAAAGGGUUAAAACGAGAAAAAAAUUGUGGGUGUUGUGGGUUGUGGGUGUUGUGGGAUGUGGGUGUUGAUCUUAGUUUAUGGUGAUUUUGGUGGUGUUUUGAGUGUAUUCAGUGGUGUUUUAGUAUUCAGUGGUGUAUUUGGGAGUACUCAAAUGGUGUUUUUGGAAGUGUUUCAGUGUUGUUUGGAAAUGUUCAAAGGUGUUCAAAGGUGUUUUGAGUGUGUUCAAAUGUUGUUUUUUUGAAGGUGAUCAAGGGUGUUCAAGGGUGUUUUGAAGGUGUUCAAAGGUGUUUUGAGGUUAUUCAAAGGUGUUUUGAAGGUGUUCAAGGGUGUUUAUGUGAGUAUUCAAAGGUGUUUUUUGAAGGUGUACAAAUGAUUAUGAGAGUACUUAUGAAGGUGUUCAAAUGAUGUGCAAGAGUACUUAUGAAGGUGUUCUGGGAGUAUUCAGAGGUGAUUUGGGGGUGUUCGAAUGAUGUUUUGGAGUAUUUCAGUGUUGUUUGGAAAUGUAUAAAGGUAUUUUUUGGUGAGUUUUCAAAUGAUUUAUGAGUGUUUUGAAAGAUGUUCAAAGUAAAAAGUGCGUAUUUAACUUCGUAAUAUGUAAAAUUGUGAGUAGUGAAUUUAACGAAAGUGGAUGUAAGCGAUGUGGUGACUUUCUGAUGCACUGUGUCCCCUUAUUAAUUUUAAUGAACUAAAAGGGUUAAAACGAGAAAAAUUGGGGUUUAUGAGUGAAAAUUGUGAGGUGUUGGUUGGAGUGUGAGGGUUUGGGAGGGUGGGGAGGAGGUUACUUCGUGGGGGGAGUGACCUGAGAUGAAAUAGUUAAAAAAUGUCUAGACUUGUGUUGUAAAGAAAUUGUGAGUAUUAACGAAAAAAUGUGCCUUUCUGAUGUACUGUGUCCCCUUAUUAACUAAAAGG